rnacentral:rRNA from 1 species
AGAGUUUGAUCAUGGCUCAGAUUGAACGCUGGCGGCAGGCCUAACACAUGCAAGUCGAACGGUAGCAUUUCUAGCUUGCUAGAAGAUGACGAGUGGCGGACGGGUGAGUAAUGCUUGGGAACUUGCCUUUGCGAGGGGGAUAACAGUUGGAAACGACUGCUAAUACCGCAUAAUGUCCUCGGACCAAACGGGGCUUAGGCUCCGGCGCAAAGAGAGGCCCAAGUGAGAUUAGCUAGUUGGUAAGGUAACGGCUUACCAAGGCGACGAUCUCUAGCUGUUCUGAGAGGAAGAUCAGCCACACUGGGACUGAGACACGGCCCAGACUCCUACGGGAGGCAGCAGUGGGGAAUAUUGCACAAUGGGGGAAACCCUGAUGCAGCCAUGCCGCGUGUGUGAAGAAGGCCUUCGGGUUGUAAAGCACCUUCAGUUGUGAGGAAAAGUUAGUAGUUAAUACCUGCUAGCCGUGACGUUAAUAACAGAAGAAGCACCGGCUAACUCCGUGCCAGCAGCCGCGGUAAUACGGAGGGUGCGAGCGAUAAUCGGAAUUACUGGGCGUAAAGCGCACGCAGGCGGUUUGUUAAGCUAGAUGUGAAAGCCCCGGGCUCAACCUGGGAUGGUCAUUUAGAACUGGCAGACUAGAGUCUUGGAGAGGGGAGUGGAAUUCCAGGUGUAGCGGUGAAAUGCGUAGAUAUCUGGAGGAACAUCAGUGGCGAAGGCGACUCCCUGGCCAAAGACUGACGCUCAUGUGCGAAAGUGUGGGUAGCGAACAGG